rnacentral:rRNA from 1 species
UUGGGAGAGUUUGAUCCUGGCUCAGGAUGAACGCGGCCGGUGAAGCUGAUACAUGCAAGUCGAACGAGUUCUGAUUAUUGAAAGGUGCUUGCAUCUUGAUUUAAUUUUGAACGAGUGGCGGACGGGUGAGUAACACGUGGGUAACCUGCCCUUAAGUGGGGGAUAACAUUUGGAAACAGAUGCUAAUACCGCAUAAAUCCAAGAACCGCAUGGUUCUUGGCUGAAAGAUGGCGUAAGCUAUCGCUUUUGGAUGGACCCGCGGCGUAUUAGCUAGUUGGUGAGGUAACGGCUCA